rnacentral:lncRNA from 1 species
GGGCUGAGGGCUGGGAUGUGGGCUCGGCUCUGCUGACCCGGGGCCUCUGUCCCCAGGCCCUACUUCACCUACUGGCUGACCUUCGUCCACGUCAUCAUCACGCUGCUGGUGAUUUGCACGUACGGCAUUGCACCUGUAGGCUUUGCCCAGCACAUCACCACUCAGCUGGUGCUCAGGAACAAAGGUGUGUAUGAAAGCGUGAAGUACAUCCAGCAGGAGAACUUCUGGAUCGGCCCCAGCUCGAUUGAUUUGAUCCACCUGGGAGCCAAGUUCUCCCCCUGCAUCCGGAGGGACCAGCAGAUCGAGCAGCUGGUGCUUCGGGAGCGAGACCUGGAGCGGGACUCGGGCUGCUGUGUCCAGAAUGACCACUCGGGCUGCAUCCAGACCCAGCGGAAGGACUGCUCGGAGACUUUGGCCACUUUUGUCAAGUGGCAGGAUGAUACGGGGCCCCCCAUGGACAAGUCUGAUCUGGGCCAGAAGCGGACGUCAGGGGCAGUGUGUCACCAAGACCCCAGAACCUGUGAGGAGCCGGCCUCGAGCGGUGCCCACAUCUGGCCCGAUGACAUCACCAAGUGGCCAAUCUGCACCGAGCAGGCCAAGAGUAACCGCACCGGCUUCCUGCACAUGGACUGCCAGAUCAAGGGCCGCCCCUGCUGCAUCGGCACCAAGGGCAGCUGUGAGAUCACCACCCGGGAAUACUGUGAAUUCAUGCACGGCUAUUUCCAUGAAGAGGCAACACUCUGCUCCCAGGUGCACUGCCUGGACAAGGUGUGUGGGCUGCUGCCCUUCCUCAACCCCGAGGUCCCGGAUCAGUUCUACAGGCUCUGGCUGUCUCUGUUCCUCCACGCUGGGUAAAAGGCUCCUCG